UAGAGUUUAUGUCUCCUACUCCACCUGAGAAGCCAUGACGGCUGCUGUACCAAAGAAAAGAGAAGAGAAAUUGAUGAAGAAUGAAACAAGCUGUUGCUACUGGUGGAAGAUCGAUGUGGUUGAUGGUUGAGGUGAAUUAGGGCUCAAUGUUCUUACACCAACAGAGAAGUUGAAGAUGUGUGAUGAAUUUCUGAAGCUAAGAAUACACAGGGAGGAAUUGAUGCUGCUGACUCGAGUUCAUGGUGAUUUCAGCCAAAGAAGAAAAGGGUUUUGCUGGAAUUUGAUUUGUACAACAAACUUGGAAGAGAUGGUGGUCUAUGUGUUCAACUCGUGAAAGGAAGAGGAAUUAAAAGGUGGGUCUGUGUUGUUGAGAAGAUUUAAGAACUUAGGUUUGUCUUUGAUUCCAAGAAGGCAGCAGAUGGAUUCGAAAUUGUGAUGUGAGUUUAACACAGGAAUAGAAGGAAUUGGUUGGUCGAUUCAGAGUUUUUAUAUAAUUUGGAGAACGAGUUGUGAAUCAGGAAAUCAAGGAUCUAUUUCUUAAGGGUUUUCAGAAGCUGAAUCGAGAAGAACUGGAAGAUGGCUGUGAUGAGAAUUAAGAAGCAACGGCAAGAGUUUUGACGCUGUGGAGAAGAUGAGGGGUCUGAAAUUAGGGCUUUUUUGAAUGAAUGAGCAGCUGCUUUGUUGGUGGUGCUGAUAUGACUUGCAAGAAGAAAUUGGGACAGCUACAGAUACUGAUGAUGAGAUGGAGCAAAGCUGCACUAAUAUGAUGAUGGUAUGGGUUUGAUAUGAUGAAUGAAAAUUCUGAACUGGUGGAGAUUUAUGGUAAUGGUUGCUGUCAAGAGACUGAGAUGCAGCUGUAUGAUGAAUGUUGAUAUGGAUGGAAUCUGUUAAUUACCAUGAACGGGAGAUUGCAGGUGUUGAGUUUGUUGGUUUCUCCAACAGCUUGAAGUUGCAGUGCAGUUGAGAAUUACAAGAUUAGCAGGUGGAAUAAGAAAUGAUGAUGAAAUGGUAAUGCUGGUUUAGAUGUAUGAUUAGGAUACAUGGCUGAAUUGAAUGGAAUUGUGGUGCUGCAAUGUGUAUGAAGCUACAGGUUGCUGUGUGUUGUUUCCUGAACUAAAUUACAGCUAUGACUUGCAGGGGUAAUUGAGUUACAACAGGUGCGAAUCUGGUAGAACUGGUUGUAGUUAGCUUGAGGAGUUGAGAUGGCAGUGCAGGUAGUGCAGAUGCUACUGAGCUGAAAUGAAAGGCUGAAAUGGAGUUGUACUGGAUGUCUACAAGGGGUUCAGGCAAGGAGAUGCACAGAGCUGGCUCUGCUAGUUACCACGCCACUGCAGUUGGUUGAAUUGGAGCUAUGGAGUGCAAUUAAUGGAGCAGUACAAGUAGAUGGAGUAUGGCCUGGUGGAGUUUACAAUUGCGGGAUGAGUCAGGUUGGUGAUUGUUGUGCUGGCAAGUAACUAUAGAAGUUGUGGGUCGUGGGUUCUUGGUGUUUUUCAUUUUUGGGUAACGUUAUGAAGCUGCAGAAGGUAUAAAUGGUGCAGAUUUGGCUAGGCAUAAAGAGAGGCAACGGAGUUGUUGUUUACUAAGCCCGGUGGUGUUGUGUUAUGAACUGGAAGGUGUGGUGACUUUCAUGAGAGAGUUGCAGUUGGUGCUUGUGAAAUGAUGGUGUUGAUGCUGCAACUGGAGUAAUGAAAGUAUGAAGGUUUCAUGGUCGAAUGUAGAAUGGCGCAGAACAAGAGCAAGAUUUGUCCCUGUGCAGCUGAAUUGAAGUAAUAAAUGAAGGUGGUAUUGAUAUCAGUUGGUGGUAUUCAAGCAGGAACUGAAGCUGCAGAAUGGUUGAGCAAAUGGUGAUGUUGCAGGUGCAGCUUAAGAUGAACUGAGAGAAUCAAGGUAUAUCUUAUGGUUAUUGAAGUUGUGAAGCUGAAUGAGGAUGAGUUACUGGUGAUGGUGUUAUGCAUGGAUGUUACAGGAAAUUGCAGCUGUUGAUGUGCAGGAAGCAGCCAUUAUAGCUGGAGGUGUAAUGCUGCUGCAGAAUGAUUGUACAGCAAAGCUCAAGCCUGUGCAAACGGCCUAGGCCAAGGUCACUCAGAUCUUGACUCAGUACCUACUGAGACACUGACUCAGCUAAGUGAUUCAAUGAUUUACAUUGGCUAUUUUCACACAUGAAUUUUAUGGACUUGGAGGACUUAUGGGCUUUGGAAGUUUUGACCUAGUUUUGGAAAGAAGAAAAGCUACAAAGGGAAAACGUUUCUACUUCCGUUGGAUAUCACGUAUUUUUCUACUUGGAGUUUUGGAGAGCGGCGACUAGGGUGUAAUUGUACAUGAAGGAAACAUGGAUUUGUAUGGUACGCAGGAUAACGAUGCUUAUGUACGCAAACCAGCACCACAACGAAAAAGCACAUACACAUAAGAGAUGGUGCCCGUCGAUCGUCAUCUCUUCUCAUAUCCAACAAAAAAUCUGACAUCUCAAAUAUGCGGCCCUGAUUUUAAAGCGAUUGAUAUGCAUAUUGGAAUGGAGUAUUUGGGGGAGUAUCCACAACCCAAUUAUAAUGUCAAUCGGGGUACAGCUAGAUGUGGUGUCAGGCAUAUCAGGAUUCGCAACAACAACUCAUGGAUCAACAACAUUUCUAUAUCUAUUACACAAAGAAACUGCAAUACAAAAUCAAAUGCGGUCAAAAAUUCAACCAGAGAUGUGUGAGAGAGUAUCUACUACCACGUACAGGUGAGUCUUCUACACCGGGCCAGUCUCGUGAUUCGGGUCCAUCGACGGGUUCUUUUGUUCCAAACAGUCAAGAAGACUACCAUCCGUCGGAGCCACUUAAUCAAAGUACAACCACGUACCAACAUCAGGGUCCUACAAAUGAUCCAUGGUUUUAAAUGUAAACGGCUAGUUUUUUUUUAACUUUUUAACGUGCAUCUUUAUAUCUCUAUGCACAUCUCAUUUUCACUGUAUAACGACUAUUUUUUUGUUUUAUACUGGUAAUAUUUACUGUAUAACGGUUUUUAUUUAUUUUGAAUUUUAUGUC